GAGCGCGACGCCCUUGCCGCGAUC
rnacentral:miRNA from 1 species